GCCAGAUUGAUUGAAAUUUCUUUCAUCCAACUUCUACCAAAAAUAGGGUCUACGUCUUGAUUAAUAAUGUAUAAUUUUCCGCUAUAAUUUUGAU